AAACUUUAAAGAAUUUAUUUUGACUUGACCCACUUAUAUUUCUCAGAAUGGGAAUAUAUACAUUAUUCAUCAAUAAAUGCUUAAUGCUUUAAAUUUACAAUUACCUUACUUGCAGAAAUUUGGAAAUCAAUUAAAUCAAAGUACAAAAGAUUUUUUUGUUCGUUUUCUUUUCUGGGCACUCAAAACUGUCUUUAUUUCAUCUGUUCAAACAGUUGCUCCAACUUUAAAGAAAGUUUAAAUGGAUUUUUGACAUUUAAUAUUGGUGAUGCUUGCCAAGACUUAAGUACUCCAACAAUGAGAAUCAGAAAAUGACCACAAUUAAAAUUAUCCUAAAGGACUUAGUACUACACAGAGCAAUCUGGUAUUCAAUAGUGUUUUUGAAUUACAUAUUUUUCCACAAACAUAGCACCUCAUUAAAUACCUGGUAAACCACUCUGC
rnacentral:lncRNA from 1 species